ACGCGUAAAAUACACAGUCCUACAGUAAGUGUGCUCGGGUGUAAAUAUAAAAGAAUGUGUGAAAAGAUGGCCAACUUAUCCAUAAUCAGUUAACUUACUCUUUCACAUGAGCAACGGGUCCACGGAAUCUAUAGUUAUAGUUGUAGUUGCAAUACUAUUUCUCUUAUCAUUGAUGGGAUAUUGUUGUAUUAAGGCAGCAUGUGCACGCAGAGCUUCCUCCAAUCUUAACACAAUUGAAGACACGCCAGUAUGGACCCUACCACCGGCAUAUUCUGAUUUAUCUCAGCAUCUCCCUCCAUCUUACAGUCAGGCUUGUCGUGUAAUUGACUAUACAAGAUCAGAAGACAACAUUGUUGAUGGACAGAUAAACCCUAGUUUUGAGAUUCAACCUGAUGAUACCGAUUCAUAUUCGAGUUCAAGUACGAACAAUGUUAUAAAUUUUCCAGAUGUACAGGAAAAUCAACAAGAGAAUAUGUGAAAUACAUGUAUAGUGUUCUCAAUUCAUCCUGAUUAUUGCAAAAUUUCACAAUCAAUUGUCUAACAUGAAGACAGAGAACUGAUGAAGGAAGAAGAUGAACUUGACAGGAAAUAAAGAACAUACUCUAAUGACCUUCGUAUGAAAUGUAUAAUAGCUUAUUAACCAACAGAAAUCUUUACGUAAUAAUCGAAACUGUUCAAGGUCAAAUUCGUUUAGAAAGUGGUCUAGAAAAGUCGGUAACAGUUUUGUGACAGAUUCUUACUGUGUUGAAUUGAUUCCAAAUGUACGGUCUUAA